AUUGUUUCUCAGCCUUUUGGCUAAGAUCAAGUGUAGUAUCUGUUCUUUUCAGUUUAAUAGCUGAUACGUCCUCUAUCUAAGGACAAUAUAUUAAAUGGAUUUUUGAAAUAGGGAAAUGGAAUAGGAGCUUGCUCCAUCCACUCCAUGCAUCCACCUGGUAUAGCAGUACUUCCAGGAACGGUGCACGCGCG